GAUGAACGCUAGCGAUAGGCUUAACACAUGCAAGUCGAGGGGCAGCAUGGUCUUAGCUUGCUAAGACUGAUGGCGACCGGCGCACGGGUGCGUAACGCGUAUGCAACUUGCCUCACAGAGGGGGAUAACCCGUCGAAAGACGGACUAAUACCGCGUACACUCUAUUUUGGGCAUCCAAGGUAGAGGAAAUGAAAUUCGCUGUGAGAUAGGCAUGCGUCCCAUUAGCUAGUUGGUGAGGUAACGGCUCACCAAGGCGACGAUGGGUAGGGGAACUGAGAGGGCGAACCCCCACACUGGUACUGAGACACGGACCAGACUCCUACGGGAGGCAGCAGUGAGGAAUAUUGGUCAAUGGGCGAGAGCCUGAACCAGCCAAGUCGCGUGAAGGAUGACUGUCUUAUGGAUUGUAAACUUCUUUUGUAGGGGAAUAAAGAGGGGCACGUGUGCCCCAGUGAAUGUACCCUACGAAUAAGCAUCGGCUAACUCCGUG
rnacentral:rRNA from 1 species